AAAACUUUUCAAAAAAAAAAAAAAAAAAAAAAUCUGUUCUUAUCAGUUUAAUAUCUGAUACGUCCCCCAUCGGGGGACUACAUAUUAAAUGGAUUUUUCGAACAGGGAGUCGGAAAUGGGGCUUGCUCCGUCCGCUCCACGCAUCGACCCGGUAUUGCAGUACCUCCGGGAACGGUGCAACACUU
rnacentral:snRNA from 1 species